UACGGGGGGGGCAAGCGUUGUUCGGAAUUACUGGGCGUAAAGCGCACGUAGGCGGCUUGGUAUGUCGGGUGUGAAAUCCCCGGGCUCAACCUGGGAACUGCAUCCGAAACUGCCUUGCUAGAGUAUGGGAGAGGGAAGUGGAAUUUCCGGUGUAGCGGUGAAAUGCGUAGAUAUACGGAGGAAUACCUGAGGCGAAGGCGGGUUGCUGGGCCAACACUGACGCUGAAGUGCGAAAGCCAGGGGAGCAAACGGG
rnacentral:rRNA from 1 species